rnacentral:tRNA from 1 species
AGAAAUAACAAAUAGAACUUCUAAUUCUAAAAAAAAUGUUUAAUCAUUUAUAUUUCUA